rnacentral:rRNA from 1 species
GACGAACGCUGGCGGCGUGCCUAAUACAUGCAAGUAGAACGCACAGUUUAUACCGUAGCUUGCUACACCAUAGACUGUGAGUUGCGAACGGGUGAGUAACGCGUAGGUAACCUGCCUGGUAGCGGGGGAUAACUAUUGGAAACGAUAGCUAAUACCGCAUAAUAUUAAUUAUUGCAUGAUAAUUAAUUGAAAGGUGCAAUUGCACCACUACCAGAUGGACCUGCGUUGUAUUAGCUAGUAGGUGAGGUAACGGCUCACCUAGGCGACGAUACAUAGCCGACCUGAGAGGGUGAUCGGCCACACUGGGACUGAGACCCGGCCCAGACUCCUACGGGAGGCAGCAGUAGGGAAUCUUCGGCAAUGGACGAAAGUCUGACCGAGCAACGCCGCGUGAGUGAAGAAGGUUUUCGGAUCGUAAAGCUCUGUUGUAAGAGAAGAACGGGUGUGAGAGUGGAAAGUUCACACUGUGACGGUAUCUUACCAGAAAGGGACGGCUAACUACGUG